GCCCGGCUAGCUCAAUCGGUAGAGCGUGAGACUCUUAUGAGAGGAUUCUCCGUAAUCUCAAGGUUGUGGGUUCGACCCCCACGUCGGGCU
rnacentral:tRNA from 1 species